rnacentral:rRNA from 1 species
UGCCUUACACAUGCAAGUCGAGCGAGGCGUCGUAGCAAUACGGCAGUCGAGCGGCAGACGGGUGAGUAACACGUGGAUGACCUGCCUCGAGGUGGGGGAUAACCCGGGGAAACUCGGGCUAAUACCGCAUAACAUCGUGAGAUCAAAGGGGCCCGCAAGGGUUCCGCCGUGAGAGGGGUCCGCGUCCGAUUAGCUAGUUGGUGAGGUAACGGCUCACCAAGGCGACGAUCGGUAGCCGGCCUGAGAGGGCGAUCGGCCUCACUGGAACUGAGACACGGUCCAGACUCCUACGGGAGGCAGCAGUGGGGAAUUUUGCGCAAUGGGGGAAACCCUGACGCAGCAACGCCGCGUGGAGGAUGAAGGUCCUUGGAUUGUAAACUCC